GAUGAACGCUGGCGGCGUGCUUAACACAUGCAAGUCGAACGGGAAUUACUUUAUUGAAACUUCGGUCGAUUUAAUUUAAUUCUAGUGGCGGACGGGUGAGUAACGCGUGGGUAACCUGCCUUAUACAGGGGGAUAACAGUCAGAAAUGACUGCUAAUACCGCAUAGGCGCACGGAACCGCAUGGUACAGUGUGAAAAACUCCGGUGGUGUGAGAUGGAUCCGCGUCUGAUUAGCCAGUUGGCGGGGUAGCGGCCCACC
rnacentral:rRNA from 1 species